UAGGGUUCGGCUCUCCUCACCUGUCCCUCUCUCGCGCACAUCUCUCCCCCUCGCUCGAGCCGUCGUCGCCUGCCAUCCUCUCCGUCCGCCGCCGCCGCCGCCAUCCUUCCCAUCCGCCGCGUCGCCACCAUCCUCCGCGUCCGCCACCGCCAUCCUCCCCGUCCGCCACCGCCGCCCCCAUCCUCCCUGUCCGCCGCCGCCAUGCCAUCGCCGCCACCUACCGGACGGCGCCGUGAAGGAAGCGACCAGAGAGGGAGGCGUCGCCGGUGUCAUGGACCCAUGCCGGCGCAACGGCGUUGCGCGUGCCUCCGCGGGUUCGCGCAGCGGUCGCCGGAGGCGUCGCGGGUCAAGGGGAGGAUGGGCGUGCGCCAUGCCGCUCUUCCCGACACAACGUCCGCCGUUCUUCCUUGGUCGGGCAGUGGUCAAGUGCUUCUUCAAGCUGGGCCGCACGCUGGGAGAGGAGCCCCAGGCCGCAUGCUUCUUCUUGCGCUCCAUCGGGAGAGACCUCGAGGAUGCCAAGAUCUGCAAUGGCCUGAAGAACGAGGCAAUUCUUGGAAGCAACACGUACAUGUGGUCUCUCUUUCACUAUGAUUCCAAGGUUGUUUCUCUCCAUAUUCCAUUCCUCUCACAAAAUUUUCUUUUCCUGGGCUUUUACUUUAUUAUGUGUGUGCUAUGCUACUGACAAAAUAUCUAAUUCUAGUGCUUAAUUAUCAUGUCUAUGUAAGCAUCAUGUUCUCCUCUGUUUAAUCUCAUUAUUGCUGUGUAAAGGGAAAUCAAGGAUUACUUUUCUUGGUACAUAUGCAGUGUAUUUUUGUUUUGAGUAGUAACAGUUCAGUUAGAGGUGAAAUAAAUAAUCAAAGUACAGUACAAUCGUUUAUCAUCCGUGAAUCUUCUUCUUUCCCCGUUUAUCGUCCCGCCGACGUGCUCUUGAGGCAGCUGAUCCUAACUUAGGCUGCCGCCACUUGGCGCUCAGAAUCACAACAUCUCCAUGGAGCCGCAGUGGAUAGCAUGGUCUUGUCGCCAUGCUGGGGACGCAGCGGCAACAUAUAUCCAGUCCAGAUCCGCUGGUUUCAGAUCAACGGAUUACCCCAGUUCAUCUUCCCACUCGCUUCUUUUCUCCUCACACACACAUCCGUGCAAAUUAGACUGUUUUUUUUACAUCUCUUCAUUCCAGUGGUGCAAUUUGCCAUUUAGUACUGAUUAGUUUACACUGAUUUAUGUCAGAUCUAACCCGAUUGAAUCAUUAACUGAUGGAGGAUUUGGAUGCCCCACACACUGUUCCGAUAUAACACCAGAACUUUAGCUUUCUCGGGAAUGUGACGAUGACUUCCAUGAAAAAAUUCAUCGAAGUGACUGUCGAUGACCUACAGGAGCGUAGCAGACUCGAUGUGGCAACCGGGUCGCUCCUGAAUGCGGUGAAGUAGUGCCACCUGGCCGGUGAAGUGGCCGACAGCAGGAAUUCCGCCGUCGACAUCGUCGAGAUUCACUUCAAGGGCCUGGAAGAUGCUCAACAAUCAGAUCGUCGUCUCGUCCUCUCCAAGAGAAGGGGCCAACUCAAGCAGGAACGCUAUUGUUGCUUUCGAAAUGCUAUUGGAUCUUAUAAAAAAAUUUGGACCUGUUAUUCAUUCAACAUUGUCAGUUAGCUCACUCGUUGGAGUAGAACUUCAAGCCGAACAGAGGUAUGCUCUCCAACUUUACUCGGGGAAGGGAACUGGGUGUUGCUAAGAGAGAUGUUUUAAAAACUUGUGUUGCUACAAGCCACUAAGGAACUCGGUCUGAGGUGGCGAGUUGGUCGCGAACUUAUGUUUUGCUUAUACUGGUCCUGUCCCUGAUAAGGGUGUGUGUAUCGAGUGUUUGCCAAUUUAGUUCUGGCAUGUUGAGUCCAUGGACAAGUAUGGAUUAUUCUCUAUAGCUUUAGCCAAUUUAGGAGACAAGCGCUGUUUUCCUGCACAUUUGCAUAUAUUCAACGACUCCGAUCUUACAAAAUGUUAGGUCUCCUUAGUUCCAAAUAUGGUUUUACAGGUUCUAAAAUUAUUUCUUUGAUGCGAGGUGCCAUGCUGUGGAUAACAAGGAGAUUAUCAAGGCGGAGCGGCGGUGAGUAUGGAGCUCAUAAUCAUCAGUUCAUCACCAUGAAGCAGAAGGAAUGGUAUAGCUUUGCCAUGCUGGACUUUGGCAGCCGCUGCUCCUCGGCAAUCAACAGGAGCUACAGCCGCUGCCACCACUCCUUCGCAGCGACGCAGGCCAGCGACGAGGAGGCUCGCAAUGGUGGGGGACACAUCACCAUCUGCCGGAGAGGAGAAAGGCAUACCUACCCCUUAACGAUUGAAAUGCAGGUCCAGGGAAAACAUCUGUACUACUAUUGGGCCAAUUGAUGCUAGGUGUACAUUGAGAUGUUUUAGAAAAAUAGAUCCUUGAUGCCGGACAUAGUGCAAUGGUGAGAUCCACUUAUUUAUGAUGGCGAGGAUGAUUGUUAGGCUGGCAUGUGGAGCUGUACUAAUAAGCUAUGAGAAGGUCCUCACAUCACAACACCCGAGCAAGUCUGGCUUGCUCGCCAUGGCCUACCACAUCGGCGAGACGGAUCGAGCACGUGAUCACCAUCAGCAGGUCUUUCGUCACAACACCCAAGCGAGCGAGAUGUUCAGACAAAGUUAUAUGAUACACUGCUAUUGACAUAUGUCGUAGAUGGACAGUACAUAUCGUUUCUCUCCAUGUUACAAUUUCUGUGACCUCGGCAUUUGGAAGACAUGUCAUCCGAAUCGUCUAUCAUGACCGAACCAUUACUAUCACAAGCAUCUUACUUUUAGAAAUCCAUAUGAUGGUUCAGUUAUCUAUAUUAUGUGUGCCAUUUGUUACCUCUGAAAUAUAUAUUAUGUGUGCCCUGUCACGUUGGUUUAUUUU